rnacentral:rRNA from 1 species
AGGGUUCGAUUCUGGCUCAGGAUGAACGCUGGCGGCGUGCUUAACACAUGCAAGUCGAACGAAGCACUUUAACAGAUUCUCGGACUGACGUUUUUGUGACUAGUGGCGGACGGGUGAGUAACGCGUGGGUAACCUACCCUGUACAGGGGGGAUAACAGUUAGAAAUGACUGCUAAUACCGCAUAAGCGCACAGUAUCGCAUGAUACAGUGUGAAAAACUUUUGUGGUACAGGAUGGACCCGCGUCUGAUUAGCUAGUUGGUGAGGUAACGGCCCACCAAGGCAACGAUCAGUAGCCGACUUGAGAGAGUGAUCGGCCACAUUGGGACUGAGACACGGCCCAAACUCCUACGGGAGGCAGCAGUGGGGAAUAUUGCACAAUGGGGGAAACCCUGAUGCAGCGACGCCGCGUGAAGGAUGAAGUAUUUCGGUAUGUAAACUUCUAUCAGCAAGGAAGAAAAUGACGGUACUUGACUAAGAAGCCCCGGCUAAAUACGUGCCAGCCGCCGC